GGACUUUUCUGGGGUUUAUUUUUAAACACAUUUUCCUCAGAGGCACGUUCAGCUCUUUUAAGCAGUUUAACAGGUUGUCAAUAUUCAAAUUAGCCAUCUGAUUGGUUUUGUCAGGUCCAAAGGAAGGUGACAAGGUCCUUGCUGAAAAUCACUUCUGUAGCUCAUGGAUAUUUUUAAUUUUUUUUUAACUAAAAACUAAACUACGGUAACCAUGACAGAGCCCAUCAGUAUUAUAUUAAAAAUAUAAAAUUAACCAUUGAUAGUUUAAUAGGUAAUAAGUAAUUUAGUGACUCCAUAUGCCAACCAUAUUUUACUCUCCCAAAUUUAGGUGAUCUGUCCCAUGUCCAUUUAAUGGUUUUGAAUCACCAAAAUGAGAGUGAAAGCAGAAAAAAAUUUUUGAAAUUUCUUGGUAGUGAAUCUAGGCUCUGUGAACAAAUAUCCACUUAACAAAUUAAAGUUCCUAAUUAUCAGCUUCAUUCUUUGCUAUUAUCAAAGUGAUCAAGAUCUGAAUUAACAUUAUCAGACUAAUUAUCUAAUAAUAAAAUAAUGUCAUACUAAUGAGCAUCAUCCUGCUGUUAACCAGGAUCCGCAACUCUAAGAGACUCUUCAGAAACUUUUUCAUUUCAGUGCCUUGCAAAGAGCAUUAAAUAAGUUCACCCCAAAAAGGAAAUCAGUGUCAGGAAAAAAGAAUUAAAAAAUUUAAAUUUUAGUUGUACUUGACAGCUUGAAGAGGUAAUGAGUUUCAUACCUUUAGAGAUUCUAGUUUUAGAGCAAUACAUUUCAGUCCUGGCAGAAUUAAUAGAUGGCUCAGUCAUUUAUCAGGAUGAAUUUUCCAUUCCAAUACUACUCUAUUGAAACAGCCCCACAAAAAGACCAGCAUGGAUAUAGAACUCCCACCACUGUUUUGCAGCCUUCUUCAGAGGGCAAAGAUCUUGUAUCCAUGGCAACUUUUCAGCACUCAGAAUCGAUUAGAGAAGUGAUCGGUUUAUCUAAACAGCAGUGCUGACGGAGGCAAGUGGUUUUUUCUGAAAUAGCAACCCUGACAGGUACUGUAAGUUUCCUUGACCAGUUAGUUUUCCAACACAGCAAGUAAUGAAUUCCCAAAGAACACACUGAGGUCAGCUGAAUACUCAGUUCAUUUCUCCUCAUUAAAACAGGUCUCUAAUUGAAUACCCUGUAAAUCAGUAUCUGCAUUUUUGAUUGAGAUCUCCUGCUCUGUUCUUAAGCAAGGCACCAGAGUGUAUAGAUCCCAUUGGAGAAAAAUGCAGUUCAGACAUUCAAAUGCUUUCUAUUUGCUUUGGAAUUUAGGACAACCAGAUUUAUUUAUUAAAAGAUGAAGCCAUCAAAAGUUUUCAGUCAGGCAUAGAUGUUUAAAUUAAUUACACAGCGUGGAAGCCAAGUUUACCAAUAAAGUGUCAAAAGCACUGCA
rnacentral:lncRNA from 1 species